rnacentral:snRNA from 1 species
AGCUUUGCGCAGUGGCAGUGUCAUAGCCAAUGAGGUUUACCUGAGGCACAAUUAUUAUACUAGUUAAAAAUUCUGGAUAUAAGUUCUUUACCAGAAUAUUUGAUUUGCAAGUAA